AUAAUUGACAGCGGGUCUGACCCC
rnacentral:miRNA from 1 species